rnacentral:lncRNA from 1 species
GGUGAUUCCUGGCGGUGGCAACGUGCCAAGUCCCAGUUCCUCAUGGCUGGCCCUCGUUUCCGCUCCUUCUCGGCACGGUGCAGCCGCGACAAGGUGGAGACGAGCCUCCUCCCUUUCCUCGCGCACGCUGCCGACGUCGACGCCCGCUGUGACCUGCACGACGUGUUCCUAAGGCUGACCUUUGACAUGACCUGCAACCUCGUCUUUGGGGUCGAUCCCGGAUGCCUGCAGAUCGGCCUCCCCGUUGUGCCCUUCGCGCGCGCCAUGGACGACGUCCUGGAGAGGGUCAUCCUCCGGCAUGUCAUCCCGCCGGCGUGCUGGAGGCUCAUGUACCGGUAUGAGGUCGGCCCAGAGAAGAAGAUGGCCGUGGCUCGAAGGACCAUCGACCGGUUCGCCGUAGACAUGAUCACCAAGCGCAGAUCCGAUCUCAAGCUCCAGGUUGAGGGCAUCAGUGAAUCCUCCGACAUGUUGUCGUCCUUUAUAUUCAACGGUGAUGCAAGCGACGAGUUCUUGCGUGACACCGCGGUGAACCUCCUACUCGCCGGCCGAGACACCACCGGGACGGCACUAUCGUGGUUCUUCUACCUCCUAUGCAAGAACCCACGCGUGGAGCAGAGGAUCCUUAGCGAGCUAGCACCGAUCGCGGCGACGAAGAAGCUGUCCAACUCCAACGACGACGACAUGGUGGUGUUCGACGUGAGCGAGGUGAGCAGCAUGGUGUACCUGCACGCGGCGUUGUGUGAGAGCCUGAGGCUCUACCCGCCCGUGCCAUUCCAGCACAAGGCGGCAACGGCCGGUGACGUGCUCCCGAGCGGCCACGAGAUAAAGGCAGGUGACAAGAUACUCAUCUACUCCUACUCAAUGGGGAGGAUGGAGGGCGUGUGGGGCAAGGACUGCAUGGAGUUUAGGCCCGAGAGGUGGCUCACCGAUGACGGAAAACUGAGGUACGAGCCGUCUUACAAGUUCAUGGCCUUCAACAGCGGUCCCAGGACCUGCCUCGGCAAGGAGGUGGCCUUCACCCAGAUGAAGGCUGUCGCAGCUGCCGUGCUAUGGAACUUCGCCAUUGAGGUCGUAGCAGGGCAUGUCGUGGAGCCGAAGUUGUCCAUCAUACUCCACAUGAAGAACGGUCUCUCGGUAGAGGUGAAGAGGAGGAAGUUUGCCGGCGUGGAUGGCUAGCUACCAUACACUAGCAGACACGUACAUGUGAUGCUAACACAUAUGGAUAGAUAAAUGGUAGUAGGUUACAGUUGGGCCUGUGGAUUUGAAAUAUGUCUAGAUAAGGUAUGGUGACGUGUUCGAGUAAGACAAUUGUGUUUUAGGCCUCUUAUACAACGUGAGGGUUGACACUGCACGUAACCUAUGCCAGCAUAUAUAUAAUAGCACAGAUACACAAAGGAGUGGGCUAUGUGCGGCGGCACCCAGGUGAAUGUGUGUGGUAUUGUGUCGAUGUAACGAGGAGGAACAUAAAAGUCAUGCCCUAGGAUGUAGCUAUGUUGGUGAGCCAUGUUAACAAAUUUCGGUGUCGUGCCUCAUGCGAUUGUUUGUUCCUCGAAUGAUCGACUAUGAGCCUUGGAUUAUAGGUUGUUUGAAGGUUGUGGACUGUUGAUUUGUAUAAUUAUAAAGGGAAAUCUAUUGUCGUAAUAGUUACUUCGAUCUCCCUUCCCACCCUUUCUCCGCUCAAUAGAAAGACCAGGAAAACCCGUCACACGGCCUGUCCCAUCUCAUUAGAAAAAGGCAAAAGAAAGUAGAAGAAUAGAGACCCACGAACACACGUCCCACACAACUACCUCAUCUCCCCAAUCCCACCGCUACCGAUCUCGUCUCCUCUCAGAUUUUUCGGCGGUAGGAUCCAGUCCCAUCAAGAAAUUCUACACUCCUCGCUCUCAUUUGGAUAUAUCGCAUCCCUACUUCCUGUCCGUAGGUAAGUUUGGUGGCAGGGCAGAAGGAGUGCUCGUAAGCAGCACGAUUGGACGUUAUCCAUUGGGUCGGGACGGGUUCCUCACAACCUAGGUGAACUGUGGCAAAUUGAGUUUUUGACAUCACCGAGGAGCUGGACAUUGAUAAACUUGUACCUUGGAGAAAGAGUGGAUGGCAUCGGAUUUUGAUGUGGUCUUUCCUCAGACUUUGACCUUGCGGGUGUUUACUUGGAGUUUGAUAUCGAUAAACUUGCGGAUGGCAUUGGAUUUUGAUGUGGUGUUCAAGGAAAUUGCAGGACGCGUAUUGGCGUUUUUUCAAAAAGAAGGCAUCGCCCCGGCCUCUGCAUCCAGUGAUGCAUGCAACCAUUUUAUUAAGUACGAAAUAGUCUGAAAGAAAUACAAAGAAGUCCGAAAAGCCGAAGAAAAAUAAAAUGAGAAGGAGUUACAAGACGAUCAUAACGCCAACAUUGAUGAUAACAAUCGGUAUAAAUGCCUAUGGUCCUAUCCUAUGAGCAAUGCCGUCGUCCAUAUCGGUUAAAGAUAAGUUGAGCUACCAUCUUUCAUCGGACACACCCAGUAACCAAAGGCUCCCUGGUUUCCACAGAAGUGAGUAAGGACCACAUGCGGAUCAAGGCAGUAGCCCUGAAGAUGACCUGCAAAAAAUUAAUAUAGUGUUGUCUGUUAAAAACUAGAUCAUUUCUGUAGUUCCAUAUAGCCCACAUAAGAGCACAAGUCCCAACUCGAAUUAGUUUGGCGUAAAGUACAUUAACCCCAUCCAACCACGUCCCAAAUAACAUGUUAAUGCUAGUAGGCGGGGCAAUGUUAAAAGUAAUUUGGAUUGAGCACCAUAAGAGUUUAGCCAUAGGGCAGUCCAGAAAGAGGUGCUUAAUCGUCUCAUGCGUCUGACAGAAGCUACAUCUUCUAUUUCCUUUCCAGUGUCUUUUAGCCAAGUUAUCCUUAGUUAAAACAACUCCUUAAUGAACAAACCACAUGAAGAUUUUUAUCUUAAGGGGAACUUUGACCUUCCAUAUAUUCAUGGACUUUGGAAUAGGUGACGUAUCAAUAAUAUGGUCAUACAUCGAUUUCACUGAGAAAGUAUCAUUGGUGGUCAACCUCCAACGAAUACUAUCAGGAAAAUUAGACAGGGUAAUAUUCAUUAGCCUUCUGACUAGAUGUAACCAUCUAACCCAUCUAUUUCCGAUCAAGGCUCUACGAAACUGAAUGUUAAGAGGAGUCUCUCGUAAUACUGCCGCAACGGAUGCCUGUUUGCGUUGUGCAAUAUUAUAGAGUUGCGGAUACUGAAGAGCCAAGGGCUCUUCUCCUAACCAAGUAUCCUCCCAGAAUUUAGUACUUUCACCAUUGCCUAUGAUGAAUCUAGUCCUGUUAAAGAAAGCAGCCUUUGUCCUCAUGAGACCCUUCCACAAAGGUGAAUUGUCAGGUCUCACAGUGACCUGAGCUAAGGUCUUUUACUGUAGAUACUUGUUCUUUAGAAUGUGUAUCUACAUUCCUUGUGAUUCGACAGACGAAUAGUCACUUGCUAAGCAGACACAGACACCUGUUCUUAACCUUUUGCAUGUAGCCACUUGCAUGUUGACGUAAAAUGGUUGUACAACAACAGAACCCGGCACGUGGAGCAGUUCAUGAACGAGGUGGCGAUCCUGUCGUGGCUGCCCCACCCGAACCAUGUCAUCUUUUACCGGGACAUGUCGAGCUGCAGCAAGGAGUAUGUGCCCAAUGGCUGCCCUGCCACAUGUAGAGGCAGCAGCAGCAAGGAGAGAGUACAUGUAGAGGCUGCAGCAAGGAGUAUGUGCCCAACGGCACCGUGGCCGACCACCUACAUGACCAGCGCAUGGCAUAGCGGGUAUUGUUCGCUCCACCUCAACAUUGCUUUCGAGGCAGAUGUGGCCUUUGGUGCACCGUGUAGUGAAGACCACCACAAUCGUCCUUGAUGUCGACUUCGACAUCAAGGUGGCCGACUUCGGCCUCUACAUCUACUCUCUCCGCCUCAUCAUAUAAGAAUGUUGUUGACACUAAUAAAAGAAUGUUUUUAACACAAAUGUUUUUCAAUAAAGGACCUAGAAGAAGCGGCUUACAUUCUAGGCAUUAAGAUCUAUAGGGAUAGAUCGAGGCUUUGGUAGGACUUUCACAAAGCACAUACCUUGAUAAAGUUUGAAGAAGUUCAAAAUGAAACAGUUCAAGAAGGGAUUCUUGCCAGUAUUACAAGGUAUAAAGUUGAGUAAGACUCGGUGACCAGUAACUGCAGAAGAUAGAGAAAAGAUGAGUAUCGUCCCCUAUGCGUCAGCCGUAGGGUCUAUCAUGUAUGCAAUGUUGUGCACUAGACCGAACGUUAGCCUGGCCAUAAGUAUGGCAGGUAGGUUUCAAAGUAAUCCAGGAAUGGAUCACUGGACGGCGGUCAAUAAUAUUCUGAAGUACCUGAAAAUGACUAAGGAAAUGUUUCUCGUUUAUGGAGGUGACGAAGAGCUCGUCGUAAAGGUUACGUCGACGCAAGCUUUGACACUGAUCCGGAUGACUCUAAGUCUCAAACCGAAUACGUAUUUAUUCUUAAUGAGGGUGCGGUAAGCUGGUGCAGUUCCAAGCAAAGCGUCGUAGCAGAUUCUACAUGUAAAGCGGAGUACAUAGCUGCCUGUGAGGCAGUUAAGGAGGGUGUCUGGAUGAAGCAGUUCAUGAUGGAUCUUGGAGUUGUGCCGAGCGCACUAAAUUCAAUAGCUCUGUUCUGUGACAACACUGGUGCCCUUGCUUUAGCAAAGGAACCAAGGUUUCACAAGAAGACCAAACACAUCAAACGACGCUUCAACCUCAUCCGCGACUAUGUCGAAGGAGAGGACGUAAAUAUUUGCAAAGUGCACACGGAUCUGAAUGUAGCAGAUCCGCUGACUAAACCUCUUCCAUGAGCGAAGCAUGAUCAAUACCAGAACUGUAUGGGUGUUAGAUCCAUUCCAAUGUAAAUCGCAUAGCGAUGCGAGACUAAAUUAUUGACUCUAGUGCAAGUGGUAGACUGUUGGAAAUACGCCCUAGAGUCCAUGAUAAAAUAGUUAUUAUUAUAUUUCCUGUUUCAAGAUAAUCGUUUAUUAUCCAUGCUAUAAUUGUAUUGAAUGAAAGCAUUGAUACAUGUGUGAAUAUAUAGACAAAACAAUGUUCCUAGCAAGCCUCUAGUUGGCUAGCCAGUUGAUCAAGGAUGGUUAAGGUUUUCUGAUCAUAUGUAAGUGUUGUCUCUUGAUAACUGGAUCACGUCAUUAGGAGAAUCAUGUGAUGGACUAGACCCAAACUAUGAACGUAGCAUGUGAUAGUGUCAUUUUGUUGCUAUUGUUUUCUGCGUGUCAAGUAUUCAUUUCUAUGACCAUGAGAUCACGUAACUCACUGACAUCGGAGGAAUACCUUGUGUGUAUCAAAUGUCACAACGUUACUGGGGUACUAUAAAGAUGCUCUACAGGUAUCUCCGAAGGUGUCCGUUGAGUUAGCAUGGAUCAAGACUAGGGUUUGUCACUCCGUGUGAUGGAGAGGUAUCUUGGGCCCACUCGGUAAUACAACAUCACAUACAAGCCUUGCAAGCAAUGUGACUCAAGUGUAAGCCACGGGAUCUUUUAUUACGGAACGAGUAAAGAGACUUGCCGGUAACGAGAUUGAAAUAGGUAUAGCGAUACCGACGAUCAAAUCUCGGACAAGUAACAUACCGAAGGACAAAGGGAAUGAUAGAGAUUAUCUGAAUCCUUGGCGCUGAGGUUCAAUCGAUAAUAUCUUCAUAGAAUAUGUAGGAUCCAAUAUGGACAUCCAGGUUCCGCUAUUGGAUAUUGACCGAGGAGUGUCUCGGGUCAUGUCUACAUAGUUCUCGAACCCGCAGGGUCUGCACACUUAAGGUUCGAUGAUGUUUUAGUAUAGUUGAGUUAUAUGUGUUGGUGACCGAAGGUUGUUCGGAGUCCCGGAUGAGAUCACGGACGUCACGAGGGUUUUUGGAAUGGUCCGGAAAUGAUGAUUGAUAUAUAUGAUGGUUUCAUUUGGUCACAUAAAAGAUUUAGGGCAUUACCGGCAGUGUACCGGAAGUGAUGAAUGGGUUCAGGGUAUUCACCGGGAGGGGCCCACCCACCCGGGAGUUAGCCCAGUAACCCUGGGGUGGCGCACCAGCCCUUAAUGGGCUGGUGAGGCCAGCCCAAGAGGGCUAUGGCGCCACAAGAGAAACCCCCCCCCCCCCCCAAGAAAAAACAAGGAAAGAGGGAGGUGGGAAGGAAGGAGUGGACUCCUUCCCCCAAACCGAAUUGGGGUGGGAGUCCACUUCCUCCCAAUCGGCCGGCGCCCUUGGGGAUCCCUUGAGCCCCAAGGCUAGCCCCUCCCCUCCUCCUAUAUAUAAUGGUGGUUUUAGGGCUUUUGAGACACAACUUUUGCCACGUGCAACUCAAACCUAUACCACGUAGUUCUUCUUCUAGAUCGGAUUUCUAUAGAGCUCGGGCGGAGCCCUGCAGGAGUAGAUCAUCAUCACCAUCGGCACGUCGUCACGCUGCUGGAGAACUCAUCUACUUAUCCAUCUCUCUUGCUGGAUCAGGAAGGCCGAGAUCGUCAUCGAGCUGUACGUGUGCUAAACGCGGAGGUGCCGUCCGUUCGGCGCUAGAUCGGAACGGAUCGUGGGACGGAUCGUGGGACGACUCUGAUUUGAAUCACGAAGCUUUACCACUACAUCAACCGAGUUUCUUAACGCUCCCCGCUUCGCGAUCUACAAGGGUAUGUGGAUCCAAUCUCCCUCUCGUGGAUGAACAUCACCAUGAUAGGUCUUCGUGUGCGUAGGAUUUUUUGUUUCCCAUGCAACGUUCCCCAACAGAUAUCGGCGGCAUGGCGCUGUGGGGACUCGGCAUCCGAUGCAUGGAGAUAGACUCGCGCAGGAGGAGGUAGAUGUAUGGCGUCAUGGUGACAUCGAUGGGAGAGUGGCUACACAAGGUAGAAGCCUCAAUAUUUGCUCUGAAGAUGGACCGGUGGAAGAUGACGGCGACAGCACACGAGUGCGUCAGAUCGGUUGUGUGCCCUAGACCCGGUAUGUGGCAGAUGGCUAGACCGGCUCUGCUAGGGCUUCCGGCUUUUGAUGUUAGGCUUAGGUAAGCGGUCUGCAUAUGUGGCCCAGCUAGCACCCCUUCAUCAUAUGGAUAGGAGUAGCGACAGAUGUUGCGAAGAUGACGGAUUCAGACAUAUUGUUGUAACACUUUGUAGGGUCCUCUAGAAUAAUCAGUAAAAUGACCGCAUGCAUCUACCAGAUGCACAGGCCGGGGGUCAUUUUCCUUUUCUAAAAAAAAUAACGUAGAUGCAGUGGCAGAUCUAAGGGUGGGUUGUUGGGGGCCAUGACCUCCACAAAAAAAUUGUAGAUUUACUUUUACUAGUGCAUAUGUAUAGUCAGUCUUGUGCUGUUCAACCAUCAUUGCCCAAGCUUGCCCUUGGUCAAAUUCUCUUAAAUCCUCUUCAAUCCCCUUCUGAUAGGGAUUAACCGAAGAAGGCCUAAAGUAUUUCAGUGCUUGGUACAAGUCAACAUUCUUUUUCAAAUAAUUUGGGUUGCAUACCACAUGGUGGUUGGUACAGACACAGUUCGACAUAACUGCACUUGAUUGGGUUGGAUGUAUAUUGGUUUCAGCACAGCUAGGCUGAUCGUAAUGAAGCUCCUGUUGGUUUGGUUGGUUGUGAUUAUUGUACUGCUAGAGGUCAGGUAGAGGUCCAUUUAAUUUUAUAUCGAUCUCUUGCCUGUUCAGAUCAGGUAAAGUAAGUACUACGCUUUAUUUGAUCUCUUGCCUGUUCCUUCUAAAAACAAGUUCAUCAUACUGUUUAGGGAUAUAGGGAAAUUAAUUAUUUGAUAUCACUGGGAGUGCAUACUCCCACCUCAACCACCGUCGAUCUUGAUCGUACUGUGCAUACCACCUUUUUGUUUUGCGGGGUUAAAACAGAUUUCAUUGCUUGAGCUGGAAAGAAGAUCCUCAUCCAAACAAAGUUGAGGUACAUCAGCAAGGCCAGACGGAAGCCAAAGUACUGUCCAAACGAAGCUAAUCUCGGACUAACAACAUUUUGGUGCCUACUAAUAUAUAUGAGCAGUAUGGUUGAGCUAUCCCUUUCACCUAGAAGUAACCUGGCUUCAUUGAUCAACAUCGGUUCAUUGAUAAAUUAGUUGAACAGAUUACACCUGUCUGAAUAAAUUUGAAGGCGAUUUGUUGAUGACUAUGUCUGAACCACCGUACCUCUGGUGGUGUUUGUGUUGUCAGAUCGGCCUAGUUGAUUAAGCAUGUGAUAUAAAUACCCGAUGAAUGCAUGAGCAAAUUACAGUAGUAGCUUGCAUGAAUGCAUGCAUGCGUGCAUAAAGCAUAAUUCUCUACUAGAGCAUGGAGCACUGGUACUGGUUUGUAGGACUUGUUUGCUGCUUCCUCUCGUACUACCGUCGUCUCCAGUCCAAGAAAACAACCAAGGAGGAGCCGACGGAAUGGCCGCUGCUUGGCCAUCUCUUAUCCACGCUCGCCAACGUCUCCAACUUGCACGACUGGGCCACCGGCGUCCUGGCUACCACGCGCUACAACUUCGCAGCUCACAUGGGGCUCACCGGCGUCCGCUUCUUCCUUACCUGCGACCCAUCCAAUGUGCGCCACAUCUUCAUCUCCAACUCCAUCAACUACCCAAGGGGCGAGGAAUAUGCCGACAUCUUCGACGUCCUGGGCGACGGGAUCUUCAACGCCGACGGCGAGUCCUGGCGGCGGCAGCGUGCCAAGUCCCAGCUCAUCAUGGCCAGCCCUCGUUUCCGCUCCUUCUCCGCACGGUGCACCCGCGACAAGGUGGAGAGGAGCCUCCUCCCUUUCUUGGCGCACGCUGCCGACGUUGGCGCCCGUUGUGACCUGCACGACGUGCUCCUCAGGCUCAUGUUCGACAUGACAUGCAACCUCGUCUUCGGGGUCGACCCCGGCUGCC